UGGGGAAUAUUGCGCAAUGGGCGAAAGCCUGACGCAGCAAUGCCGUGUGAGUGAUGAAGGUUUUCGGAUCGUAAAGCUCUGUCAGAAGGGAAGAAAUCAUGAUGAGAACAACACCUCAUUAUGUUGACGGUACCUUCAAAGGAAGCACCGGCUAACUCCGUGCCAGCAGCCGCGGUAAUACGGAGGGUGCUAGCGUUGUUCGGAAUUACUGGGCGUAAAGCGCGUGUAGGCGGAUGAAGAAGUCGGGUGUGAAAGCCCUGGGCUCAACCCAGGAAGUGCGCUCGAAACCAUUCAUCUAGAGUAUCGGAGGGGCUCGGGGAAUUCCUAGUGUAGAGGUGAAAUUCGUAGAUAUUAGGAGGAACACCGGUGGCGAAAGCGCCGAGCUGGACGAUAACUGACGCUCAGACGCGAAAGCGUGGGUAGCAAACAGG
rnacentral:rRNA from 1 species